rnacentral:rRNA from 1 species
GAUGAACGCUAGCUACAGGCUUAACACAUGCAAGUCGAGGGGCAGCAUGGUCUUAGCUUGCUAAGACUGAUGGCGACCGGCGCACGGGUGAGUAACACGUAUCCAACCUGCCGUCUACUCUUGGACAGCCUUCUGAAAGGAAGAUUAAUACAAGAUGGCAUCAUGAGUCCGCAUGUUCACAUGAUUAAAGGUAUUCCGGUAGACGAUGGGGAUGCGUUCCAUUAGAUAGUAGGCGGGGUAACGGCCCACCUAGUCUUCGAUGGAUAGGGGUUCUGAGAGGAAGGUCCCCCACAUUGGAACUGAGACACGGUCCAAACUCCUACGGGAGGCAGCAGUGAGGAAUAUUGGUCAAUGGGCGAGAGCCUGAACCAGCCAAGUAGCGUGAAGGA